UACGAAGGGGCUAGCGUUGUUCGGAAUCACUGGGCGUAAAGCGCACGUAGGCGGAUCUUUAAGUCAGGGGUGAAAUCCCGAGGCUCAACCUCGGAACUGCCUUUGAUACUGGGGAUCUCGAGUCCGGGAGAGGUGAGUGGAACUGCGAGUGUAGAGGUGAAAUUCGUAGAUAUUCGCAAGAACACCAGUGGCGAAGGCGGCUCACUGGCCCGGAACUGACGCUGAGGUGCGAAAAGCGUGGGGAGCGAACAGG
rnacentral:rRNA from 1 species